rnacentral:rRNA from 1 species
UACGUAGGGUGCGAGCGUUGUCCGGAAUUACUGGGCGUAAAGAGCUCGUAGGUGGUUUGUCGCGUUGUCCGUGAAAACUCACAACUCAAUUGUGGGCGUGCGGGCGAUACGGGCAGACUGGAGUACUGCAGGGGAGACUGGAAUUCCUGGUGUAGCGGUGGAAUGCGCAGAUAUCAGGAGGAACACCGGUGGCGAAGGCGGGUCUCUGGGCAGUAACAGACGCUGAGGAGCGAAAGCGUGGGGAGCGAACAGG